UACGUAGGGUGCGAGCGUUGCCCGGAUUUAUUGGGCGUAAAGGGCGCGUAGGCGGCCACGCACGUCCGUUGUGAAAUCGCCCGGCUCAACUGGGUGGGGUCAGCGGAUACGGUGUGGCUAGAGCAAGCUAGGGGGCAAUGGAAUUCCCGGUGUAGUGGUGGAAUGCGUAGAUAUCGGGAGGAACACCAGUGGCGAAGGCGGUUGCCUGGAGCUUUGCUGACGCUGAUGCGCGAAAGCGUGGGGAGCAAACAGG
rnacentral:rRNA from 1 species